GUAGGCUACGGCGACAUGCGCCCCGUAACCGUCUGGGGCAAGCUAGUAGGCUCCUUGUGCGCCAUCGCAGGCGUCCUGACGAUUGCCCUGCCCGUACCCGUCAUCGUGUCCAAC
rfam:Macrostomum lignano uti_cns_0010391, whole genome shotgun sequence.